rnacentral:rRNA from 1 species
GAUUUUGAUCCUGGCUCAGGACGAACGCUGGCGGCGUGCUUAACACAUGCAAGUCGAGCGAGGCUCCUCCUUCGGGAGGUGUCCUAGCGGCGAACGGGUGAGUAACACGUGGGCAACCUGCCCUCAGCUCUGGGAUAACUCCGGGAAACCGGGGCUAAUACCGGAUACGACCUCCACGGGCAUCUGCGGAGGUGGAAAGGGUUUCCGGCUGAGGAUGGGCCCGCGGCCUAUCAGCUAGUUGGUGGGGUGACGGCCCACCAAGGCGACGACGGGUAGCCGGCCUGAGAGGGCGACCGGCCACACUGGGACUGAGACACGGCCCAGACUCCUACGGGAGGCAGCAGUGGGGAAUAUUGCGCAAUGGGCGAAAGCCUGACGCAGCGACGCCGCGUGAGGGACGAAGGCCUUCGGGUUGUAAACCUCUUUCAGCAGGGACGAAGCGAGAGUGACGGUACCUGCAGAAGAAGCACCGGCCAACUACGUGCCAGCAGCCGCGGUAAUACGUAGGGUGCAAGCGUUGUCCGGAAUUAUUGGGCGUAAAGAGCUCGUAGGCGGUCUGUUGCGUCGGCUGUGAAAACCCGGGGCUCAACUCCGGGCCUGCAGCCGAUACGGGCAGACUAGAGUUCGGCAGGGGAGACUGGAAUUCCUGGUGUAGCGGUGAAAUGCGCAGAUAUCAGGAGGAACACCGGUGGCGAAGGCGGGUCUCUGGGCCGAUACUGACGCUGAGGAGCGAAAGCGUGG